GAACAGUAGAGUCAGUAAUUAGAAAAAAAUCUUUUUAUUUCUAUUUUUUUGGGUCUGAGGACAUGCCUCAAGAUAGAAGAAAAUGAAGGAAAGUAAAAUAUCAAGGUCAGGGGUAGCAGAUGUACCCUCAUUGCUGUCGUAGAGAGAGAACGACAAGCGAGUAGCUGGCAGGGAGCCCAGAAACCCGAGGUUGACACUCCUAGCAUUAUUUCAUAGCAAGCCUAAAAUGCUGACAUGAGUGAGAAGCCUCCAGCAGGUGUAUCAGCAUUUCCGCUGCUGCUUGUGCUGAUAAAGCUUCCUGAACACACACACCAAGUAGAAAUCACUUGGUGACACGUUCACUGGGGCACUCCGCCAAGGAAGUCUAGAUGGGCAGGACGGUGUGCUGCAGAUGGCCCCACUACCCAGCGGGUCCAAUGGACAAUUCGAACGUGGUUUGAGAGAGACGUGGGGAGAAUUCUCUCCCCUGAAAUGUAUGGAGCAAGCUAGUACUUCUAAGAAUUUGCUACUGAAAGACGAUGCAUAUGAAAACUGAAGUGGCUUUAGAAUACUAAGGUGGUAGCUCUACACAGUGUGAUUAUUAGUGUUCAAGGAGCCCGCCCUUCAUGUUCACAGUGACAUUAAACACACACACACACACCCCAUCACACACCACCCUCAUAUCCCACAUCCUGAAAAAUUAGACACACACACACAAACACGUCCCUCACACGCCACACCUCCGAACACAUACAUACACAUGCAUACACAGACACACCACACCCUCACACACUCCAAACACAAACCCUUGACUCUUGCACCAGUGACGAGAGGAGCAGAUUGAAGAGCAAGAGCCAGUGGACCUGAAAGGCUAUGGAUGACAUUUGCUGAAAACUGAAAUUCUUCUGUAGGGAUUUCAGUACAAACUUGAUGUUUUUGACUUCGGUGCAUUGAAAUUCAGAGAGACUUGAAAUAUCUUCCAUUUGAAACUGCUGUUUGUCAAAUAUACUUUAGUGUGAACGCACUUCUGAUCAUUUCUUGAGAGCAGGUUUUGACAGACAAACUGCACCUACGGAGGGCCUACGGCUACAGGGGUAAUGAGAGGAGGGCAGAGAGAGGAUGCUGUGGUGGCCGAAACAAACUCAGCUAACACAGUGAUUUGUCCUGGGGUCGGUGCUGACUGAAAACCUGUAGACACCACUGAGAGCUGCCCACAGGAAUAAACGAAAUGUUACACAGAGAAUACUGCGGCUAAAGAGUAUAUUUUUCUACUUACAUCAAUGUGAUGCUUGAAAGGUCUCUUUGGUCUAUAUAAAACUAGCACUUAUUGGCUACUAUUAAAUUAAAUGAGACAUUGCAGACCCCAAAACUAGGCAAUCAUAAAUCGCCAAUCCUAAAUUCUUC
ensembl:lncRNA